rnacentral:rRNA from 1 species
UCAGACCUACGGGGGCAGCAGUGGGGAAUAUUGCACAAUGGGGGAAACCCUGAUGCAGCGACGCCGCGUGGGCGAGGAAGCACCUCGGUAUGUAAAGCCCUAUCAGCAGGGAAGAAACAGGACAGUACCUGACUAAGAAGCCCCGGCUAACUACGUGCCAGCAGCCGCGGUAAUACGUAGGGGGCAAGCGUUAUCCGGAUUCACUGGGCGUAAAGGGAGCGCAGGCGGCAUGGCAAGUCUGAUGUGAAAACCCGGCGACCAACCCCGGGAGAGCAUUGGAAACUGCCA